rnacentral:rRNA from 1 species
GUGAACGCUGGCGGUAGGCCUAACCCAUGCCCGUCGAACGGCAGCACAGUAAGAGUUUGCUCUUACGGGUGGCGAGUGGCGGACGGGUGAGGAAUACAUCGGAAUCUACUUUUUCGUGGGGGAUAACGUAGGGAAACUUACGCUAAUACCGCAUACGACCUACGGGUGAAAGCAGGGGAUCUUCGGACCUUGCGCGAUUGAAUGAGCCGAUGUCGGAUUAGCUAGUUGGCGGGGUAAAGGCCCACCAAGGCGACGAUCCGUAGCUGGUCUGAGAGGAUGAUCAGCCACACUGGAACUGAGACACGGUCCAGACUCCUACGGGAGGCAGCAGUGGGGAAUAUUGGACAAUGGGCGCAAGCCUGAUCCAGCCAUACCGCGUGGGUGAAGAAGGCCUUCGGGUUGUAAAGCCCUUUUGUUGGGAAAGAAAAGCAGCAGGUUAAUACCCCGCUGUUCUGACGGUACCCAAAGAAUAAGCACCGGCUAACUUCGUG